rnacentral:rRNA from 1 species
GAUGAACGCUGGCGGCGUGCCUAAUACAUGCAAGUCGAGCGAACAGACGAGGAGCUUGCUCCUCUGACGUUAGCGGCGGACGGGUGAGUAACACGUGGAUAACCUACCUAUAAGACUGGGAUAACUUCGGGAAACCGGAGCUAAUACCGGAUAAUAUAUUGAACCGCAUGGUUCAAUAGUGAAAGACGGUUUUGCUGUCACUUAUAGAUGGAUCCGCGCCGCAUUAGCUAGUUGGUAAGGUAACGGCUUACCAAGGCAACGAUGCGUAGCCGACCUGAGAGGGUGAUCGGCCACACUGGAACUGAGACACGGUCCAGACUCCGACGGGAGGCAGCAGGAGGGCAUCUUCCGCAAUGGGCGAAAGCCUGACGGAGCAACGCCGCGUGAGUGAUGAAGGUCUGCUGAUCGUAAACCUCUGUUAUGAGGGAAGAACAAAUGUGUAAGUAACUAUGCACGUCUUGACGGUACCUAAUCAGAAAACCACGGAUAACUAC